AGGUAAUCAAUAUUAUUUACAAUAUCAUAAAAUAUGAAAUACUUAGGUAUAAAUUUAAUGAAAUAUGUGCAAGAUUUAAUGUUGAAAAUAUAAAACAUUGCUGAGAAAAAUUAAAUAAGACCUACUAAAUGGAGAGAUAUAUCAUAUUUAUGGAUUGGAAAACUCAAUAUUUAGAUGCCAAUUCUCUCUGGCUUGAUCUAUAGGUGCAAUGUAUUCCCAAUCAAAAUCCCUGCAGGAUUUUUUGAUAGAAGUUUGCAAAUUGAUUCUAAAUUGAUUCUUGUAUUUAUGUGCAAAAUAUAACAUCAAGUUUUAUUGCUAGAUAAAAUGCUGGCAACAUUUAUUGAAUGUUUACCAUGUCCCAGGUAUUGUUUCACCUACUUUGAAUGCAUUAGGAAAUCUAAUUGUCACAAAAACUCUCUAAGGGAGGUAGAAUAGUGUUAUCUCCAUUUUAUGGAUAUGCAGACAUAAAGCAGGCAAAUAACUUGUCUGGGUUUAUCAGCUUUUAGGUUGGAGAGUUUGCCAUUGAAUCCAGGCAAUUGAAAUCCAGAGUCUGGCUGUUUAAUUACUUGGAAUCACCAGUUUCUGUACCAGUUAGCUAUUGCUAUAAACAACCACAAAAUCUCAGUGGAGAAAAGGCUGCACCUAUACUGGUACUGGAAACAAGUUCAACCAAUGCAGGCAACUGUUAUAUCCUGACAGAGGAGAUCGAGAUGUUAUCAAGGAAAGAUGGCCAGCUGCCCAGGCUGGGGGUCAGUAGGCUGGUGACAUCAUCAUAAAUUUUCACACUGAGACUUUAACAUUGCAAGUCUAGAAAAUUGGUUCCGUUGGUGUGAUGGAGGCUAAUCAAGUUUUGGAGGAGGGGUGGCUUCCACUAGCCAGUCUCACAGAGACGGAGACAUAAAUCUAAAGUAAAUUCACAAUAGAAAAUCUAAUGCUGCAGCACACCAAAAAGUUUGUCUCUGGUUGGUGUAGUCUCUCUCUUUUGGCAAAUCUAUUAAAAAUGCUAAAGUAUUAUCCAGAAGGCUAAAUGGAAAGCAAGGAAUUAGAAACAGACAGCAGGGAGUGAAGCUGAGGGGUAAGUAAAGAGAGGGUCUUUUGCAUGAGUGGAACAGUGAGUGUCUCCAAGUUGCAGCUG
rnacentral:lncRNA from 1 species